GACGAACGCUGGCGGCGUGCCUAAUACAUGCAAGUAGAACGCUGAAGGAGGAGCUUGCUCUUCUGGAUGAGUUGCGAACGGGUGAGUAACGCGUAGGUAACCUGCCUGGUAGCGGGGGAUAACUAUUGGAAACGAUAGCUAAUACCGCAUAACAGUAGAUGUUGCAUGACAUUUGCUUAAAAGGUGCAAUUGCAUCACUACCAGAUGGACCUGCGUUGUAUUAGCUAGUUGGUGGGGUAACGGCUCACCAAGGCGACGAUACAUAGCCGACCUGAGAGGGUGAUCGGCCAAACUGGGACUGAGACACGGCCCAGAGUCCUACGGGAGGCAGCAGUAGGGAAUCUUGGGCAAUGGACGGAAGUCUGACCGAGCAACGCCGCGUGAGUGAAGAAGGUUUUCGGAUCGUAAAGCUCUGUUGUAAGGGAAGAACGAGUGUGAGAGUGGAAAGUUCACACUGUGACGGUAUCUUACCAGAAAGGGACGGCUAACUACGUG
rnacentral:rRNA from 1 species